AGUGAACGCUGGCGGCGUGCUUAACACAUGCAAGUCGAACGAGAACGGAAUAUAGCUUGCUAUAUUUGUCGGCUAAGUGGCGCACGGGUGAGUAAUGUAUAGAUAACCUGCCCUUAAGAAAGGAAUAACAGUUGGAAACGACUGCUAAUGCCCUAUAUGCCUUUAAUACAUACGUAUGCAAGGGAAACGCUUUAGUGCUUAAGGAUGGGUCUGUAUGGUAUCAGCUUGUUGGUGAGGUUAUGGCUCACCAAGGCUAUGACGCCUAACUGGUUUGGGAGGAGGAGCAGUCUCAGUGGGACAGAGACACGGUCCAGACACCUACGGUACGGAGCUGUGGGAAAUAUUGCAGAAUGGACGAAAGUCAGAUGCAACAACGCCGCGUGGAAGAUGACACAUUGCGGUUCGUGAACUCCUUUUAAAGCUGAAGAUAAUGACGGUACGAUAUCAAUCAGCACCGGCUCACAGCGAGCCAGCAGCCCCUGUAA
rnacentral:rRNA from 1 species